UACAGAGGGUGCAAGCGUUAAUCGGAAUUACUGGGCGUAAAGCGUGCGUAGACGGUUACAUAAGUCGGGUGUGAAAGCCCCGGGCUCAACCUGGGAAUUGCAUUCGAGACUGCGUAGCUAGGGUGCGGAAGAGGGAAGCGGAAUUUCCGGUGUAGCGGUGAAAUGCGUAGAUAUCGGAAGGAACAUCAGUGGCGAAAGCGGCUUCCUGGUCCAGCACCGACGUUCAAGCACGAAAGCGCGGGGAGCAAACAGG
rnacentral:rRNA from 1 species